UGGGUUUUCUUACCAGUGACACCUCAGCCUUCUGAGGACUUAUUUCUUGGUAGGAGCUGCUGCUUUUCUGGGCAUGUUCCAUGUGUUGACUCCCUACAUACUCCAGGACUAGCUUAGGUCCCAACCCAAUAGUUCCCAGCCUUCUGAGGACCCAUGACUCCUCUUUCCAGGGUUUGAACAUCCUCAUCCCUGUGUUAGACCGGAUCCGAUAUGUGCAGAGUCUCAAGGAAAUUGUCAUCAAUGUGCCUGAGCAGUCGGCUGUGACUCUCGACAAUGUAACUCUGCAAAUUGAUGGAGUCCUUUACCUGCGCAUCAUGGACCCUUACAAGGCAAGCUACGGUGUGGAGGACCCUGAGUAUG
rnacentral:sRNA from 1 species